rnacentral:rRNA from 1 species
UACGUAGGGUGCAAGCGUUAAUCGGAAUUACUGGGCGUAAAGCGUGCGCAGGCGGUCUUGCAAGACAGAUGUGAAAUCCCCGGGCUCAACCUGGGAACUGCAUUUGUGACUGCAAGGCUGGAGUGCGGCAGAGGGGGAUGGAAUUCCGCGUGUAGCAGUGAAAUGCGUAGAUAUGCGGAGGAACACCUGAGGUGAAGACGGGUUGCUGGGCCAACACUGACGCUGAGGCGCGAAAGCCAGGGGAGCAAACGGG